UGUUAUUUUUUGAAUUUCAUAUUAUUGCUGUAUAUCUGCUAAAUUUGUCUUUGUUUAGGAAUACUUGUCUACAUCACAGGUUUACAUCUUCACGAUGCCGAGAAAAGGGAAGAGGUCGCAGGCCCAAAAAGUGCGUUGGAGAAGGCUUGAUUUGACAGAUCCAGUCCAGAUCAGCCCACCGGACACCAGACCACAGACACCACCACAACACAGAACCUUCUGGAAGUCGGAUAAUGAACCCUCCUGCUCCAGUUCUCCAGCUAAAAAGAUGGAUGAAACACCUCCACCAGCGAGACCUUUCUGGGGAAAGGACAACCCACCCAGUCCCUCAUGUUCUCCAGCAACAAAGGU